CUCCCUGUGGCUUGUUGUAGGAGGUCACAGACAGGGUGUGACCACCAGAUGACCCUGGAGCUGGCCCGGGAGCCAUCAAGCGCCUCACCUCUCCCUCAACCUUCCAGUGCUGGUCCCGCCCACCGUGCCCACGGCCGGAGCUGUUUUCAAGGAUGCAGCCUGGAGAGACAAGAUGUUGAGACCAACCCAGUGGAGGCCUCUAGUAAGCGUCUGAGAGUCGGGCAGGCAGUGUGGAAAUCUACCUGUCUUGUGGCCACCCAAGGCAAGCCUCAAAUGUACGUUCCCUUGCUCAUGAAAGCCGCCAUCCACUGAUCAGGAGGGGCCCCCCUCUUUCUUUGGUCUCUCCCCGCCUUCAGUGGGGGGUGGGGAGUUUGCAAACCAGCCGUUGUCCUGCAAGUCACCCCGCCCCUGGGCCUUACUUUCCCCACCUUGUGGGGAAACUGUGGCUUCAGCCUCAGUUCCCUCAGCUUCUCGAUCGCAGACCUACAGUGCACCCACCUCUCGCCCCUUUCCCCCAUUUGUCUUCCAGGGUCUCAGGGCCACUGUGUCUUGCUUGGGUCAGUGUGCAACCUGCUCUUCGGGUCUGUGCUUCUGCAGUUCCUUCUGUCUCCUCUGUUUUCAUCCCCCUACCCCCACCCUGGAGCCCUUACUGGGUCUCAAGUUUCUCCGUCUCAAAACAAAAUCGACACCUGCCCUCAGUCCUGUGUCCUCCUUUGAACACCUCGGAUCUGCUUUCUCCACACCGUGAGCCCCUCACCAAGAGCCCUGCACACCUGCACCGGCCCCUUUCUUUCCCCAGGCAAGCCUCCGAGACCAGUGUGGCAGACUUCGCCAGGACAAAGUUGACCUGGGGCGGAACGCAAUGACUGACUGUCUAAGGCUUCGGUUUAUUUCAUACCUGUGCAACAUUUGACACUGGCCUCUCCUUGCUCCCUUACACCUUGCCGUCCCCUUGUUUCCAGGUUUCCCAUGAUCCUCCUUGGCCCCAGGACACUGUCACGUCUCUACCUCCAUCUCCUUGGCCGACUCCUCAGUCCCCUGCUCAUCCCUAAGUGCUGGUGUCCCAUGACCCCAUCUGUACUCUCCCGGUGUCACCUCUGCAUGCUCAGUUUCUCUGUGACUCCAGCUUCCAGCCCUGUGCUGACGACUCAGCAGUGGUGCCCCCAGCCAGCUCUAGACUCAUAAGUCUGAGCUCUAGACUCAUAAGUACUGCCUGCUAGAAAUUUCUCUCUGCAGGUCUGGCCGACUUCUCCAGAACAUGUCCAUAGGCAAGUUCAUCCUCCUUUCUGGACCCAUUCAUCUGCUCUGUCUUCAUUUUCAGGGACUGUGUCCUCCCAGUUACUCACACCAGUAGCUGGCGCUCAUCCCGGACCUCUCCCCCUCUCUCGCACACCCUCCCCUCCCCGUGCCCUGGGGACCUCAGCUCCUGAUCGUCUCUUCAAGCAGAGAGCCUCCUCUUCCCUGCUGCCACAGUUCCGACCCUCACCCCUUCUCAUGCAGACCAGGUGACAGCCUCAAACUGUCCCUGUAAGCCGGCUCUGCUCCCCUCCAAACACUUCUCCACCCCGUAACAGGUGUUCUUUAAUUCUUAUGAAACACGCAGAAAAGAACUGAGAAUAACAUAACCAACCCCGGUGUGUCAACCAGCUGGGCGGGGGGGUCUUUCUAAACCACUAAGCUGGUGACUUCUGUCCCUUGCCGGCCCCACCUUUCCGGGGUUUCUCAUUGCUUCCAGCAUACACUCGAGGCUGCUGAGUGUGGGAUUCCGGCCUGGGAAGUUUCAUUCUGUCUCAUGCAGCCUCUCCCGCCACUCUCCCCAUGCGGACUCAAUGCGCGGCCGCCGCAAACCAUUUCAGGUUCCUGGAAGACUGUGUUGUGUUGUCUAUGUGCUGUUCCUUCUGUUUGCGGUGCCCUCCCCACUCCGGUCUACUCGGUAAACCCUAGCCUAUUAUGUCACCUUCGGGCGGCCUCAGUCAUACACCCCUUCUCUGUCCCCACCUCCAAGGAGAACCGAUGAUUCCUUCCUGAAUAUCUUGCACGUGUAUAGCCCCAUCUCCCUAAAUUAGAGACUCCUUGAGGGCAAGGCUGUAUCUUUCACAUCUUUGGCGAUCAGUGUAGAGUCUAGUGACCUGAUACAUAGCUGGUGCUCGGGAAAUGUUUACUGCUCUGGCCCCUACCUUCCUAUCCCGUCUUGUAGUUGAGAAAUCUUUUCCCACUUACUUUCUCCCCAAACGCGUAUACAGACCCUGUCCCCCUCCUGUGCACAGCAUAUGUGUCCCCUAGACACCCUUUCCCUAGGCACCCUGGUCACCUUGUGGAACCUCUCCGUGGUCCCUGCUGGAGUGUAAGGUGCUGCGAGCCCCUCCGGACCACCGUGCGCAGUCUCUGCCUCCUGGGCACCUGAGCAUCAGGGCCAAGGCUCAAGGCAGGGGAGAAGUGUUUGCGAGCCUGCAAAGGAAGGAGUCAGGCUUGCUGAUUUCUACGUCCUCCAGCUCCCAAACUGUGUGAUUCGAGGUUCUGAAAACUGUGACAUAAUCUGGAAGUUUUCUCCCAGCAGAUGGUCAGAACAGUUGAAACACCGAUUCAGACAGUUGGCAGAUACGAAGGUAAACAGUGAAGACAGUGAGUCAGAAGGAAGGAUGUGAGAUGAGAAAGCGCCUACAGGAGGAGAUGACGUGAGGUGGGGGACGCAGGCACAUGUCUGCGACAGAGCGUUGGGUGGCUGGUGACCUGGGAUGUGUUGGGAUCGUCUGCUUCCAGACCUUGUGUUGACUGCAGUUCCAGAUGCCCGUCCUUCUCCCCCUGGUGACUCCUCGGUGGCUCUCAGCUCCCCACACUCUCCUGACUGCCCUCAUCGGUCGUCAGCCCCCUGAAGACGGGGGUGAUGGCCCUCGAGGCAUUGCGAGUUACAGUGGAAGCUGUUCCAAGAAAUUCUGAGGUCAAGAGCUGAACUUGUAGGGUCAGAAGAUAAAAAGCGUUUCAAGUCCUCAGAUCAGCAGCAUCCGAAAUCUGAACACACUAAUAAUAUCAUCCGUGGACACGACAGGUAUCUGCCGAGAACGCCGAAGCCGGGCCUGGGCUGUGGUGUCAGAUGCGUUUCUCACCGCCAAUUGCCUGCAAAGCGCGGAUACGGACGGCUGGCUUUGGGGGUCUUGCACACCGUGUCAAGCCCCAGGCCUCACCAGGUGGGGUGCUGGCCCCGAGCUCCGCAGGCUCACCUUCCCGCCGUGGCCGGGGCGAGGGGCGUGUGGGGCUUGGCAUACAGGACAUCCCCAGGGCUACUUUCUUUUUCAAUAAA